ACGGAGUUUGCGAAACUAAAACUGCAAUAUAAUGUUUGUGUAGCAAUAAUACAUAUGACAUGUUUUUUACAUCUACAUUUACUAUCGUCUCCAGUACCGAUAAAAAGACCGAUAACGUCGGAGCUUAACGGUACCACGGUCUUUAAUAAUUCAUCCCCGGGGCUCGGUGCCCAUCCCUAGUUGUGGUGGACUCUCACCUUGCUGAACUGGCAGACCACGUGUUUGAGGAUGUUGCUGGGAACAUCGUAGAGGAGCGGCUCCAGACCCGGCAGAUGUGAUGACUUUGCUUCCUGCCUAUAAUCCCUAUUGAGGUGUGACCCCUGUGACCCCUGCUGAGAGCCUCGUCAUUGAAGCGUCUCUCUGCUGCUCUUACUUUGGCCUGCAGGUCCUCGGAGCUGCUGGCCUCCAUGUACAGCUCCAGCAGUUUGCUCAGGAG